GACGUAGAAUGCAAGCGUUAUCCGGAAUUAUUGGGCGUAAAGCGUACGUAGGCGGUUUCUUAAGUCUGGAGUUAAAGACCGAGGCUCAACCUCGGGAGUGCUCUGGAAACUGAGAGACUGGAGGACGGCAGAGGAAAGUGGAAAUUCCCAGUGUAGCGGUGAAAAUGCGUAGAGAUUGGGAGGAACACCAGUGGCGAAAGCGAACUUCUGGGCCGUUCCGUGACGCUGAGGUACGAAAGCCAGGGGAGCAAACGGG
rnacentral:rRNA from 1 species